rnacentral:snRNA from 1 species
AUGCUUGCUUCGACAGCACAUAUACUAAAAUUGGAAUGAUACAGAGUAGAUUAGCAUGGUCCCUGCACAAUGAUGACAUGAAAAUUCGUGAAGUGUUCCAUAUUAAA